CCAAAUAUGGAAGUUACUGUGAAGUGCCUGCAGGAUGACUGCAAUUUUUUUCAACGUCUUGGCAAAUUUGAGAACACAUGCUGCAAAAGCACAUGCUUGCAGAGGAGAAAGGAAAGUUUAUAUUCCAGACAAUGGAUGAGUUUCUGAAGUGAAAGUCCAAAGAAGAGAAGACAGCAAGAAGUAGCUAUUUGUGUUUUUCAUGGUUUAUAGGCAUACUGGGGAAACUUGCCAUG